ACGAGGCGCCAGCGGAGCACCGUCGUCGCUAUGGAAACAGGACGCGGAAAUGAGUCGCUGAGUCUCCCGGAGCAACCAGCUAUGGCAGCCGAAGAGGAACAUUAUUAGUAAAAGGGCUGGAGGGUGGGGUUUUAAGGAGGAAGGCUGAAGAGCAAGCCCAAAGGAAGCGGGGUUGGAACGGGUGGUGGGGGGCACUGUGAGAACUACUACAGGUUCUUAAACAAACGAUACAGUGAGGAGUCGAGGACGCCCGCUUGUUUUUCCAAAAGAAAAGAAAACCUAAUAGGCCCUGCUUCCAAGCAGGGGGUGCAGAGAGGGAAAAUUGAGGAGCAGCAAGCUCUCACUUAAAUUCUGGGGUGGCGGCGGGGGAGGAGAAAAACGUGUUUCGGAGAUUAAAGACCUGGGUAGGAUGAGGAGGAAGUCGGGACUCCUCAGCUGCUUGGAGGGAGGGAUCUGCACCCUUGCUUCCAGGCUGCCCAGGCAACAACGCAGGACAAACGCUCUUUUGGUGCCGUCGUGGGUGGUCGAUAGUCUUCCUGAUUGGCUCUCUUCUCCUGCCUCAUUAUGUGAUGGGAGCAAAUAAGGGGCUCGAGAGGCCGGAGGGGGCGAGGCGUGGCAUAGUAGCCCCCCAGCCCUCUCCUCCCCGCCCCCCCGGGGACCCUGGAGCAAGUGGACGACCUACUCAAGUUACUGCUCACCACGUUCUCCUAAAGAUUUGCAUUCCAGAAGAGAGUGUGGUAGAGUGGGACAAUGGUAAGCGUGUCAGACUAGGAAUGAGAAGAUCUGGAUUCAUAUCCCUGUUCUGCCUUGAAGCUCAAUAGGUGACCUUGGGCUACUGAUUAUCUCUUCAGCUUCCCUACCUUAUAAGGUCCUUGUGAGGGUAAGUGGAAGAACCAUCUAUGUUGCUCUGAACACCUUGGAGGAAGAAUAAUGAGGAAAUGAGCUUACUGUAGGGGAUGAUAGGUGUGCUCCUUUUUACUGUCCCCUUUUUAUGUGAACACAUAUGUCUUCGAACAUAAGUAAAGGUGCCAGGACCAGACCCUGAGAGGGGUUUUAAGAACUGUGUGGAGAAAAAAUAUUCAGCUGUUCCUGCCACUGCAGCACAUUGGUAUGAAAGGGCACACAGCUAAAAUUUUACUUUCCACACAACAAAGGAGCACCAAUAAGGCUUAGACCUAACUGUAAACACACGAUAGAGAGAAACCAGAGCCUCAAUUUAACAUAUAUAUAUAUUCACAAAACUGAGACAGGAAGUGACAGGUCUUGCCACGGUUGUUUAAAAUAGGGCUGAAUACCUGUUCCAGCAGUGACUCUGUAUAAGUCUUCAUUUAGAGGACCUCAUUGUUUAAUGGAUUGGUGGAGGAGAAGCUCAUUGUUGCAUCUUAUCUUAAACAUACUUACCAGGAAGUCCCAUUGAAAUCAGUGGGACAUUUUAAUGUAAAUUUGGCUAGGGACAAGCUAGGAUCAAGUUGUAAAUGUUCAAAAACAUAAGAAGGGGGACAUUCCAGAGUGGAUUUUAUUUAAUUCCUGCUGUUAUUUUGAACCAGUAGACAGAAUAUUAACACAGGUACAAGAGGAACAUAGUUGCAGUUGGUCAUUUCAGCCUCUGUGUGUCACUGUUGCUCUGCAGAGCCUCUGUCUGUCACUACCAGAAGGAGCAAGAAGAAGAAUUCACAGCACCGAUUCUGAGGCAGGCCUCCCUAGGAAGUUGAAAGCUAAUUAGGGGAGAUCUCCCUGAAUCCUCCUCACUGAUACAUAGUACAGUUUUUUCUUAUGUCCUCAUGUCAGUACACUGCAUUUCCCCGAUCAAGCUUUGCUGGCUGCUGCUGGCCAGAGUGGCAAAACACACUGAGUCCUGACCUGAUACUAUUAAGCUGUGUGUAAGCUGUACUUCAUGUUACCUGAGAGAGAGAACUCACCAUGGGGCUGCUCCUGGAAAUCUGUUUCCUGAAAACCAUAUACACUAAGAAACAGAUUCAAAGUGGCUAGAGCAAUGUAAUGUUUCACUAAAAUCAACUCCUUUGUCUUGGGAAGAGCAUUUCCCCCCUCAGUCAUUUGUGUUGUAUAAUAUUUUGGCACUAGGUCUCCAGCUUCUUGAGAUUUUGCAGGUUUGGGGAUGUCUUACUGUCUUUAUGCUUAGUUUUUGCCGCCCUUUUGAAAGGCGGUCAACAACUAAAAAUUCGCUCCUUGCAUACACAUCAAAAUUAUUCUGAGCACCGUUUUCUAGGCUCGUGACUCAAAAUCUUUAUGAACAGGCUAGCUGGCCAGUAUUCCACUCUAGCCAACUACUAGAGCAGUUGGCUAAUGAAUAACGUAUGAAUUUGAGGAUCUUUUAUAACAAGAGUGAGCUGACUUCAGUCCUGCAUGGCCUUUUCUCUCUUUCUUUUUUCCAAGACCCACCCCAUCCCCAUCCAGUGUUCCCUCUAACAGAGCUUCCCAGAUGUUGUUGACUACAACUCCCAUAAUCUCCAAGCAGAGGCUAUUGAAGCUGGGGAUGCUGGGAGUUGUAGUCAACAGGAUUUGGGCCCCCACCCCAUGAUUGCUGUGCUAUAAUUUACAAUGCAAGAGUGCAUAUGCAGGAUCUCAUGAAUGUUGAAGCACAAAUAAUCUGUGUGAAAUGAUUCUAAGUAUGCUCUCUUGCUUAAUGGCACCUGUCUUUCUAGAUCAGAUCAAUACGAUCCAGCAGACUCUGCAACAAUCCCAGCAACCAGAAGGCACUGGGUUGCCUAUCUAUCAGUCUAUCUUCAGUCAACUCCUACUUUAUAAUAAUGUGUAUAUUUUUCAACAUUGCAUCAUUCUGUUUAGUACAUAUUACCUCUGCUGGAGCAGUAACAAUGACUGUGACUUUCUAAAUGGUCAUUGCUGAGUACGUUUAUCACAGUAUUAGCAUCAUUAUAUUUUCUCAUUUUGUGAAAUUGAUGUCAUUAGCCAUUGUUAAUAUACUAUAGCAAUAUUAGGGUGUGCAUGUGUGUUCUUGUUUCUUUUUUUCAUCUGUAGUUUUUUGUUUGUUGUGAUACAUAACUAGUUUUAACUGAGUGUUUGAAUGUGAUUGGAUCAGUGAAUAACUCCAGGUAUUUAUCUGUAUAUCAAAGGUUUUUAUAUAUGUCUCGACUGGAUACCCAGAAAAAACUGGGCAGCAAAAAUGGCUGGGAAUAUAGAUUGGAUGAGGGCUUAGUUAGUUACUGGGAAGGGUAACUAAACAAUUAUAUAUUGGCUAUAGGGGCUCCCAAGAGUUCAGCAAGAUGUUUGGCUGCCUUAUUAAGAAGGAGGCUAUUUGUGGAACAAGUGGAGUAUAGGCUGAUGAAUGCUUGUAGUUGGGUGAUUAAUGAACACUGAGGUUACUGAGGUUUGAGGCAGAAUGACAUAACAUAGGUAAGGGUUAUGGUUGCAGUCAUGCACACUUUCCUGGAAAUGAGCCCCACUGAAUAUAGAGGAACUUCUGUGUAAACAUGCAUAAGAUUGCACUGCACAUCUUACUGAAUCAACUCUUGUAGGCUUUUAGCCCACACUUGCUUGUUCACCAAACAGACAUCCAGGGGGGGAAAUGAAAUAAAAUCGAUCUAUUCCUACAUGUGACAUGUUAGCAGAGUAUUUCUAUAUUAAUUACCAUUCAUUUGGAUUUGCCCAAAGAGAAAAUCUCAGGUUUCAAGUCUCCCCAAUUGUCUCUUUUUUGUUCUCAAAGUAAACAAGCAAUGAACCAUCAAGCCUGGUUAUAAAAGAACACUAAUUCCUUUUAUUUCUACUCUUAUAUUUUAUGUCUCAUUCUGAGAGGGCGGUAACACCUACAUAUGUUUUGUAUUCAAAAAGUCGGAUAGAGCCAUUAUUAAUGAUGCUAUAGGGGGGCAUCAUAGCAGCUUCUGCCUGCCUGCUUGCCUGCCAGGCUCUACACACAUUGAGCUAGCCUGUGCUAGUGCAUUGCCAGAGCACCGUUUAUACCAAGCUAGGAGGGAUCCACGGCAGUUAGUCAGUCAACAAGUGAGAACUGUGGGAUGUGCAGAUACUUCGCCCUGUGUCCAUACAAUGUAACAUGUCUUCUCUCAUUAUGCAGAUGAUACACCACACUGAAACUGCAGCCUGAGCUUUUUGGAUUGAGGCCUCAUUCCUUGGAAGCCCACCAGUCCUUCCUCUGGUAGGAUAGGAUCUCGCAAAGGAGUGGAGUUUCAUCUUGUCCUCACUAGUCAGCACUAUGCCUAUAAAGUCUACAGUCUUCUUUCUGCCCUGGUGCAGUACAGGCUAAAGCGAUAGAGAUGGCAUUCAUGGUACUGGUAUUAACACACAGGUGGAAGGCUUCUCAAGUCUUUGCAGAGAUAGUCUGGCACAUACAAAAUCUGAAAAGCAAAUCACUGUCCCUUAAUAUGCUGAAGGAAUGCCUUUAUACCAAGGUGGAGACACACUCCCCCGCCGAAAACACUAACAAAACAAUUACAAGUUAAAUAUAUUCCAAACACGCAUAAAUUAAGUGGUAAAGUCUCACCAGGGCACCAGCCCAGGCACUGUCUUUUUAGUCUAUUUGCAGAAGGAAGGGCAUCAAACCAUAUUUGGGUGGGCUAGAGCUGGUUCUCUCUGCUGGUUCUGGAAUGCUCUCACUGCCCUGCUUCUGGGAUGAUGGUCCGCUCAUAACAGCAAGCUUAUCUCCCUGUGAGUAGAGCUUUGCACAACCUCCUCCUCCUCUGAGCACGAGGAAUCUGGACUGUAGCUGAAGUUGUCAGCAUUGUGGCGCAGGAGUGGAGUAUUGGUGCUGUGCCUGGUGAAUUCAUCGCCACCACUCUCCUCUCCCUCCUCCUGCUCGUGCACUUCUCCAGACAGCAGUUUCUCCGAGGCCUUGCUCACACCCCUCUGUUUCUCAGCCUCAGCUUGCACCACCUGCUCCUUGGCCUUCCGACUACGCUUCCAUUUCAUCCUACGGUUCUGAAACCAGAUUUUCACCUAUGAGAGAUGGACAGACAGAUGGUGACAGCAGCUCCAUUAUGAAGACAGUUCUUCAUAACCCUUCCACACUCUGAUAAGUCUAACCUUCUCCCAUAGCUUCAAAAGUCUAGAUCAGGGGCAGGCAACCUUGGCUUUUGUGCUGUUGUUGAGCUACAUCAUCCCUAGCAUACACUGUGGCUGGGGAUGAUGGGGGUUCAACAACAGCUGGAGAGACAAGGUUGCCUGCCCCUGCCCUAAAUCUUUUCAGAUCCUGUCCCGUUAUUUCUUCCACAGUUCCUCUCUACUGGCCCAACAUGCUUUCCACUUGAGCCAGACCUACCCCAUGGAAUAACUACAAUCUUCUAUUAUUUGUCCUUUCCUUUAUAGACCAUUGGGCAAGCUA